GACGAACCGUCCAAACGUUAUUCGGAAUCACUGGGCUUAAAGGGCGCGUAGGCGGCCGAGCGGGUCACGGGUGAAAUCCUCCAGCUUAACUGGAGAACUGCCCUUGAUACCACUGCGGCUCGAGGAAGGAAGGGGCAAUCGGAACUGUCGGUGGAGCGGUGAAAUGCGUUGAUAUCGACAGGAACGCCGGUGGCGAAAGCGGGUUGCUGGUCCUUUUCUGACGCUGAGGCGCGAAAGCCAGGGGAGCAAACGGG
rnacentral:rRNA from 1 species